CCCUGGUAGUCCACGCCGUAAACGAUUAGUGCUAAGUGUUAGGGGGUUUCCGCCCCUUAGUGCUGCAGCUAACGCGUUAAGCACUCCGCCUGGGGAGUACGGUCGCAAGACUGAAACUCAAAGGAAUUGACGGGGGCCCGCACAAGCGGUGGAGCAUGUGGUUUAAUUCGAAGCAACGCGAAGAACCUUACCAGGUCUUGACAUCCUCUGACAACCCUAGAGAUAGGGCUUUCCCUUCGGGGACAGAGUGACAGGUGGUGCAUGGUUGUCGUCAGCUCGUGUCGUGAGAUGUUGGGUUAAGUCCCGCAACGAGCGCAACCCUUGAUCUUAGUUACCAGCAUUUAGUUGGGCACUCUAAGGUGACUGCCGGUGACAAACCGGAGGAAGGUGGGGAUGACGUCAAAUCAUCAUGCCCCUUAUGACCUGGGCUACACACGUGCUACAAUGGACAGAACAAAGGGCUGCGAGACCGCAAGGUUUAGCCAAUCCCAUAAAUCUGUUCUCAUUUCG
rnacentral:rRNA from 1 species